GAUAGCUCAGUUGGUUAGAGUGAGGUGCUGAUAACGCCAGGGUUGCAGGUUCGGUCCCCGUAAGGGACA